UACAGAGGGGGCAAGCGUUGUUCGGAAUUACUGGGCGUAAAGGGCGCGUAGGCGGCCUGCUAAGUCGAACGUGAAAUCCCCGAGCUCAACUCGGGAACUGCGUCCGAUACUGGCAGGCUUGAAUCCGGGAGAGGGAUGCGGAAUUCCAGGUGUAGCGGUGAAAUGCGUAGAUAUCAAGAGGAACACCUGAGGUGAAGACGGGUUGCUGGGCUGACACUGACGCUGAGGCGCGAAAGCCAGGGGAGCAAACGGG
rnacentral:rRNA from 1 species